GACUCGUGUGUGUGUGUGUGUGUGUGUGUGUGUGUGUGUGUGUGUGUGCAGGGGGCGCCCACCCUCCGGAGGCCCACCCCCGCCUUGCCCGACCCCCAGG
rnacentral:miRNA from 1 species